rnacentral:ncRNA from 1 species
UGUAAAACUAUGAAGGGAAGAGUAGGUACAGAUUUGAAUUUUCAGCGAGCCGAUGAUGGUGGAAGAUCGGUAUGACAGCUGUAUUGAAGAACAUCCCGGAGUUCCCAACCGAAAUGAAAAGAGUAGACUUGGGGGUGACCAGAACCUUAAAUCUGGAGAGUAUCGGAUUUUACCUGUACUUUUAAGGCGGCCUUUUGGCAAAUUGGGUGGUACCGCGAAAUUAACCUUCGUCCCUUUA